GACGAACGCUGGCGGCGUGCUUAACACAUGCAAGUCGAACGGGUCUGCCCUGUUUUUUGCGGGGUGGGUCAGUGGCGAACGGGUGAGUAACACGUGAGUAACCUGCCCCUCACUUCUGGAUAACCGCUUGAAAGGGUGGCUAAUACGGGGUGUUCUGGCUGUGCCGCAUGGUGUGGCUGGGAAAGAUUCACUUUUGUGGUGUUUUGGUGGGGGAUGGGCUCGGGGCCUAUCAGCUUGUUGGGGGGGUGAUGGCCUGCAAAGGCUUUGGCGGGUAGCCGGCCUGGUAGGGUGGGCGGUCACACUGGGACUGAGAUACGGCCCAGACUCCGGCGGGAGGCAGCAGUGGGGGGGAUUGCACAAUGGGCGGAAGCCUGAUGCAGCGACGUCGCGUGAGGGAUGGAGGCCUUCGGGUUGUGAACCUCUUUCGCCGGUGAAGAAGGUCCUGCUCUUUGGGGUGGGGUUGACGGUAGCCGGGUUAUGAAGCGCCGGCUAACUACGUG
rnacentral:rRNA from 1 species